UACGGGGGGAGCAAGCGUUGUUCGGAUUUACUGGGCGUAAAGGGCGCGUAGGCGGCGCGACAAGUCACUUGUGAAAUCUCCGGGCUUAACUCGGAGCGGCCAAGUGAUGCUGUCGUGCUAGAGUGCGGAAGGGGCAACUGGAAUUCUCGGUGUAGCGGUGAAAUGCGUAGAUAUCGAGAGGAACACCUGCGGCGAAGGCGGGUUGCUGGGCCGACACUGACGCUGAAGCGCGAAAGCCAGGGGAGCGAACGGG
rnacentral:rRNA from 1 species